GACUCAGUAGCUAAGUGGAUAACGCGUUGGUGUUUGAAGCAAAAGUUACUAGGGUUCGAGUCCCAGAGUU
rnacentral:tRNA from 1 species